GAUGAACGCUGGCGGCGUGCCUAAUACAUGCAAGUCGAACGCUGGAACUCUAGCUUGCUAGAUUGAAGGAGUGGCGAACGGGUGAGUAAUACAUAAGCAACCUACCCACGAAGACUGGGAUAAUCUCUGGAAACGGGGACUAAUACCGGAUAGGUAAUCGGAAGGCAUCUUCUGAUUAUUAAAUGUUAAAAACACUGGUGGAUGGGCUGAUGGCGCAUUAGUUAGUUGGUGAGGUAACGGCCCACCAAGACGAUGAGUCGUAUGCGGCCUGGGAGGGUGGACGGCCACAUUGGGACUGAGACACGGCCCAGACUCCUACGGGAGGCAGCAGUAGGGAAGGUUGGGCAAUGGGGGAAAGCCUGACCGAGCAACGCCGCGUGAGUGAUGACGGCGUUCGGGUUGUAAAGCUCUGUUGUAAGGGAAGAACGGUAGAUAGAGAAUAUCUAAAUGACGGUACCUUACCAGAAAGCCACGGCUAACUACGUG
rnacentral:rRNA from 1 species